UAUAAGCCGAGAGUAAUCAGUACACAGUGAAAAUGGCGCCGCUUGAGUGAAGGUGGGUGAUUCUGUGCGUGCGUGUGUCCGGAAAGUGCGUGUUUUCGGAAAUGUGGCAGGAUCUGGACGGUCUGGGGGGUGCGGGAGUAAAUUCUGGUGCUCACCAGCUCGACCAGUUCGGCACAACGGAAUUGACGCCAGAACACCAGAAGAUUCUAAUAGACAUCAGGCGAAAGAAGACGGAGCUGCUACUCGAGAUACAACGGUCCGUCGUCUGAUCCAUGUGGAUCCUGACUCUCGACAUCCAUGACGUCAAGCUCUCGUUGUGGCGGCGGACGAGGAUGGCUCUGCUGCUGCUCGUACUUCGUUAUCUGGUUCUGCCCUGGCAAACGAGCUCGAAAGGAAUCGUUCUGGGAAAUUUAAUGAUGUAUCUGGAGGUGGGAACUAUGACGAGUUCGUGAUGGAACGCGAGCAACAGCGAACCCUACAUCGUUGACCGGCAUAUGGCAUCCCCUGGGACUGAAAGAGCAAAAUUCAUGACACUCGUGCGUGCACUUUCGUCGAGUAACGACACCCGCUUGCUGGUAUCGUGAUUUCGUGGAAUUAUUUAAACCUGUGAAAUUGCUUGUUAAUGGAUCAUUAACAGUGUAACGCCUGCGCGUUGCUUUUAUUGAGAAAAUAGACUCGUUUGUUUUGUUGUUUUCUGUCGGUUAGAUUGUGUCCUCGAUUAUCGCAUAACUGGGAAUCUUGCCAGCGGUAAUCACUUUUACCAUUCGAAUUACCCUCCUCUUGAACGCACUUUUAUUCAUCCCGAACCUUUUUACUUUGUUUUCCUUGGAUGUCUGUUCUAUUAUUAUUUCGUCGUUGUAAUUGAGAUUGACGACUGAAAAACGUAUACCCAGAAAAAAUAAAAACGUGUAUUUCUCGUUUUACCAAAGCUUCGCUUCGGACGAUAAACUUUUUAUUCGUUCUUUCUCACCGUUUUGUUACCUGUGUUUGAUUGAAUCUUUUCCUUACUCGCAUUGCAUCAAAAUAAAAAAGCGUCUCGCUAUAAAUAAUGUGAUAUAAAUAAUAUGUAUUCUGAGACGCGCUAUACGUACAUUCUCAUUAUUCCAUUGUACGUACAUGUCUGUAUGCUAGCACAAUCGAUACUUGAAAACCAUUCAGUACAAAUCGGAGAAAGAACCAUCUCGUUUGUUACGUUUUCCUAUUCCAUGCAAUCCAUGCGUAUGCAAUUUAGAAAAUAUCGAAUUGCGAAUUCUGGUCAAAUACAGUGCGAGUCGAGCAAAACAAAUCGAGGCAAGUUUGGUGAGGGGCGUGCGCGCGCAUCUGCGUAACCGUCACGCGAUAAACGCGUGCACGCCUGGUUAAUCGUCUCGUCCCGUUCACGAUGCAGCUGUAGCAGGUGCAACGACGACACGUCGUUGAAUCGCGUUUAAACACGGUGAUCGAAUCACCGAUUCGAUCACUCCAAGGAGAUAUCGUUUGCAAAUGCGAAUGAACGCCUGUUCGCUGCUUCGCAAUAUUGGGCUGUGCGCGUAAUCUGUUUCUCGUUCGAUUUUUCGUCUCUGGUUAGAGUGGGGAAAGAAUCGUCAGCCGAUAAAGAAGAGAGCAAACAAAGUCGAACGUUUCUUCCGUUCGUUUCUUCUAGCCGUGAAUCGUGAAUCACGCGGAUGGAAUUCAAUUCUUUUUUGCGACGAGCAGAUUUCGUGAUCAGCAAUUCGGCAAUGAAUUCCUCUUUCUCUCUGCGUUUCGUCCCACGACGAUAUUUAUCAGCCCCGUAGUAGUGGAAUCCGAAUUAGAAUAGGAACACGUCGUUAUUUACGAAUAGGAUACGCGUCUGAGAAACGGUGAAUUAUGCGAUGUUUUGAUUUGCAUUGUAAUUCCGUCGAUAGAGCUGCUAGCGGUUUUAUUCGAUCUACAGCUUCGGCUUUCCGGGUCAUUUCCCAAUUACGCAGUAAUUAAUCAACGAGCUAUAUAUUUAGUUGCUAACUAUUGGAGAAGCGCGUCACUUGUCCACACCAGCGCGCAUUUUCGUAUUUUUUUCAUUAAGAUGGAUAAUAGCGAGCGAGAUCUAUGUGAGUUAUAUUUGAUAAUUUUCGCAGCAUACGCAAAUUAUAUUGCUGACCGUUGAACCAACGGGGCCGAAGAAACGAUAAUCCGCGUCCGAAUGAACCCCACUUCGUUAUUUAAUUUAAAAUUUUUUAUCAGUGUUUUUUAAUAUGCUUGAUGCGGUUCAAUGGAUACUUGACGUCGAAUUCGAUAGCAAGAAGCAAAAGGAGCUUCGUCGAGUAUCAUGUUUUUCGCGGGAACGUUCUAUGUUUAAUUUUCAAUUUUGUCAUCGUAAUAUGUACAUAUUAAUAUGUAGAAAAGCGUAAUCGUUCGAUAAAAUUCCGUUCCAAUGGACGAGAUGGCUACUUUAAAUAGAACCGUACAUUGACGUUCAAGCGAGUGCUGUAUAUAGCUACGCGAAAUAGCGUGGUAACCUAAGUAACGUGAAAGUUAGGUGAAAUAAUUUGUCGAAGAAGCUCAGACGAGUAGAUAAAACGGUCACAUUGAACCGUGGCCUGUCAACGCCCUGCUCGACACUCAAGCGCCUCCAAUUGAUAAGCAGUCGGCGAAAUUUCAGCCUGUCUCGUUCUCGGAAGCAUUCUUUUCACGAUCUUCGGCAAGUAUGCGUGCUAGAGUGUCUACUUGGUGUUGCUUGUAUGUUCAACGUUCGAAUGAAGUAUUCCUAGAAAUACAACUUACAAUUUUAGCCGAUUACGAUAUAUGUAUAUAUAUAUAUUCAGUGGACACUUUGAAACUAUAACUUUUUGACAAUACAUUCAAAAAUUUCAUCUCGAACAGAGUCUAUUUCUUUCUUUUUUUUUUUUUUCUUUUGAUUUAUGCGAACCUGGUGCAAUGAAACUCGGAACAUCCUUGCAAAAAAUAUAGCUCGCCAUAAAAAAUAUCUAUCGUUCUUCAAAUAUCGAUCUUUCGAAAAGCACUGCUCUCGGUAUAUUGUAGCGCGUUAAAACGACCGAAAUUACGUUGCUGAAGUCUUUUGGUAACGAGGAGAUACUGCAUCAUGCAAUUGAGAAAUUCCCGCGGUCCGCGCGCCUGCGUUCGCUGCCUUUUUAAACCGUACUUCGCCCAUGAAGAGUAGGAUCGGUUUGACCUCAUACGAGAGCCACCGCAAACGUGGUAUAGUGUACAGGCUGCUCCUUGCAAUUGGAGUGGCUCGUACUUCAUUUUCGCGAUGAACGGAAAAAAACCCUUGGCAGAAAAAAGAAUGAAACCGUAGAUCGAUUCAGAAAAAUUCAAGUUGUAUCGGUUUUAUUUCUUCCGUAGGUGGAUUUGUGCAAGAUGCAACCUUGUUCGUUUUCUAUUCUCAUGCUGCGUACGUCCGCGAUUGUGUAUCGCGCGUAAAAGAAUUUUUAAUUAAAUUGUUCUUUACAUAAAAAUUUCCAUGCACUUGAGAAAAUAAACAAAUCAUGGAAAUGAAUACUUCGUGAAAAACAAAGGUCAAUGUGAUUAAUUGGGAUUCACGUAUCUGCAUGUUUCUGCGCAUUAUUACUGUAUACAUAUUUACCAAGCAGCUAACCGAUAGAACGUAUUUAACGUUUUUAAUUUAGUAUUGUUUUAUUUCUUAUAUUUUAAAUAUAUGAAUAAGCGAUUCAUCAAACGAUUCUAAUAAUAUUUUCUAUGCAUUUAUCUUUAUUUAGAAGAAAGCUAUAAGUUAUACCAGUUACGAGAAUCAGCCUGUAUUCGCACACGCGUGACUGAGUUCACGAUGCGUCCACCACGAGGCGCCAGCGCGUUUCCAGCGCGACCGUUUACUCUAGCUCGCUGUCGCGAGUCGCACGGCAGCCGCUGCGUGAGGCAGAUCGUUCUUUAUCCCGCAACAUUACGAUCUCAGCUAACCCGAUACAAUCGCGGUCUCCGGUCAAAAUUACGCUGCUUUCGUUGUUGUUAUCGGAGAGAGUCGACUUUAAGAAGAUAAAACGAUCGUGCGACAGUGUUUUUUUCUAAAUCUCGCGGAAGCUUUAAAUUGCUCGUAUCAUCUCGCGUGACUACUGUCAUUCCAACUUAUCAGAGUUUAUCGAUGUUAAGUGAUAAAUAAGGUUUAGUAAAAAAUUCUACACUUCAGACUCUUACUUCGUUCACCGAUAUUUUCAUCGAUAGACGAGUGAACAUUAUUUGAUCAGGAAUUCCGAGACGUUUUUCGAAAUUUUAGAUGCGUUUAUUGAUAGAUUAUCACGUGUAGUGGUCAAUACGCAUCAGUGAAACAUCGAUCGUGGAUCGAUCGGAAGAUACUAAUUUUGAAGGAAUUGCAUUACUGAUUCAGGGUCGUUGAACCGUUGAGAUCUUUGAUCUCGCGUGUCGACAGUUUCUUUCGACAAAGGGUCACGUUUACUCGAGUACUCGUAACGCGAGCGAUCGUUUCUGAUCGCUUUAACGAUCGGUUAACGAUAGAAGCGUAUGUCAAUGUCACCCUCGAGAUCGAACGGCUACAGUGUCGCAUGCAGCGCAUGGUGUCAGAAAGUGUGGUUAGGUUGUUCCUGAAAGUAUCACGGUUCGGGAGAAGUGAAGGGGGCCGAGUGGAACGAAUUCCAUUGGUUUGUGAAGUUUGGCAACGCGAACUCGGUGCCAAGCAUGAUUUUCACCGGCAGGUCGGUGGACGCCCUCGACGAAGUUCGCGGUAGCAACGUGCAGACGGACAACCGUCGGGACGUUAGCGCCGUCGCCAUAGCCGCAGGAUGGUUUUCCAGUUUGCGCAGACCCGGCAAAAGGAACAA